UUGGAGUAGAAGUAUUAUCCACAACCACAUAGACAAGGUUAAACUACUUAACAGGAAGAUAACAUUACAUGUUUAAUACCUCUAUAUGUGGAGAUGAAGAUUGAAUAUGACUGUGUCGGUGAUCAGUAUUGGCACUAUGGCUAACAUCAGUUCAGUAUAAGCCGCUGAAAUACUGUUAAGUGCCCUCCCUAUAAAUGUUACAAAGUGCAGGAUAUGAUGGCAGUACAGUGGCCACUAAAUGAGACCGUCCACAAACUGUUCCAAUGCCUUGCUCCCAAAGGAAAACAUCAGAAUGUCAUAAAGCCAAGGUCAGACUGAAAUUCACAAUAAUAACAUUAACCAAUUACCUAGGAAGGAACAAACUUUUGAAUUUGCAA